UACGUAGGGACCGAGCGUUGUCCGGAAUCAUUGGGCGUAAAGAGCGUGUAGGCGGCCAACUAAGUCCUGCGUGAAAUCUCGGGGCUCAACCCCGAGCGGUCGUGGGAAACUGGUUGGCUAGAGUGCGGGAGAGGAGAGUGAAAUUCCUGGUGUAGCGGUGAAAUGCGCAGAUAUCAGGAAGAACACCCGUGGCGAAGGCGGCUCUCUGGAACGCAACUGACGCUGAGACGCGAAAGCGUGGGGAGCAAACAGG
rnacentral:rRNA from 1 species